rnacentral:rRNA from 1 species
UUGGAGGGCAAGUCUGGUGCCAGCAGCCGCGGUAAUUCCAGCUCCAAUAGCGUAUAUUAAAGUUGUUGCAGUUAAAAAGCUCGUAGUCGAAUUUCGGGAUUGGCACAUCGGUCGUGCCUUAAGGGGCAUGAACUGGUGUAGCCAAUUUCUCACCUUCUGGAGAACCGCGAUGUCCUUAAUUGGGUGCCGCGAGGAACCAGGAUCUUUACUUUGAAAAAAUUAGAGUGUUUAAAGCAGGCAUUUUGCUUGAAUACAUUAGCAUGGAAUAAUAAAAUAGGACGGAUGAUUCUAUUUUGUUGGUUUCUAGGACCACCGUAAUGAUUAAUAGGGAUAGUUGGGGGCAUUAGUAUUCAAUUGUCAGAGGUGAAAUUCUUGGAUUUAUUGAAGACUAACUACUGCGAAAGCAUUUGCCAAGGAUGUUUUCAUUAAUCAAGAACGAAAGUUGGGGGAUCGAAGACGAUCAGAUACCGUCGUAGUCUUAACCAUAAACUAUGCCGACUAGGAAUCAGACGAUGUUAAUUUUUUAAUGACUCGUUUGGCACCUUACGGGAAACCAAAGUGUUUGGGUUC